AAGGAAUAUUGCUCAAUGGGAGAAAUCCUGAAGCAGCAACGCCGCGUGGAGGAUGAAGGGUCUAUGACUUGUAAACUCCUGUAAAGAAGGAAAAAAUUCCCAUUUGAUGGGAGAUGAUGGUACUUCUGGAGUAAGCCCCGGCUAACUACGUGCCAGCAGCCGCGGUAAUACGUAGGGGGCAAGCGUUGUCCGGAUUUACUGGGUGUAAAGGGUGCUCAGGCGGAUUUGUAAGUCAGAGGUGAAAUCUUACAGCUUAACUGUGAAACUGCCUUUGAUACUGCAAGCCUAGAGUAUGGAAGAGAGUGAUGGAAUAUCUGGUGUAGCAGUGAAAUGCGUAGAUAUCAGAUAGAACACCUAUGCCGAAGGCAGUCACUUGGUCCAUUACUGACGCUAAAGCACGAAAGCGUGGGUAGCAAACA
rnacentral:rRNA from 1 species